GCCUCGGUAGCUCAAUGGUAGAGCGAAGCCCUGAAGAGGCUUGCGUUGUCAGUUCGAUUCUGACCCGAGGCACCA
rnacentral:tRNA from 1 species